AGGAACCGAAGGGCCCACUUCUGCGCUGGCUGUGGGCUGUGGACAGACAGCCCUGCUGGGCAGAAGGGCAUUGAGGACAUGCUACAGGCGUCCAGAACCUGCAGCCGAGAGACAUGACAGACGGGACGGGAUGCUGGGAGCAGCAUCCCACUGAAGGCUGUGACAGCGAAGCAUCUCCAAGGGCAAGGACCCGUUUCACGGGAUCCAGGAUUUGGGUUGAAGCGGCAAUCAAGAAGCGAAACAGCACAGAAAUGACCCAGCAGCUCUGUCUACGUAAACCAGUGCAAAGAUCCAAAGAGCCUUGGUAACGACGGCAACUUCCUGGAGGCCACUCACCAUGGAAAUUAGAUGAAGAUCCCAACCAUUUCCUCCCUGGAGUGAAGUUUUGACAGAAUCAGGGAAACACACACUCAGGAGGGCGUGAACCCUGGUGUGAGAACUCUCCGUUCUAUUCUGUUCUUUCCCUCCCUCCCCUCUCCUGGCCCCGAAGCAGGACAGAGAUCCUCAGCCAGCCUUCCUCCUGGGCUGUAACUGACAUCGCUCAGCCGGUCAGAAUCCACUAGGUCUGGAAAUGAAGCCCGUUUGAAGGGAGCCCACAGAGUGUGUGCUCACGAGCGGGCCCCUCUGCGGACACCUGGGGUCCCUCCUGUUGGCCCGGGAGACGGCGUGGAGCAGGCCUCAGCCUCGUGCCUCUUGAGGGCCCAGGGAACCCUCAUUUCACCCUUGGUUCUCAUCAGCUUGGCCGAUGGCUGCUCCUGCUGGUGUCGACUCCUCGGUGUUCUGGAACAUUCUGAGCAAGCAGGGCCUGGCAAAGGAACCCCUCAGUGGAGAACCCCAGGUGCUUACAGUAUGAAGCCUCCAGAAUACCUGGGAAGGACCACACCUGAGGGGCCAUCAGCAUCCUCUGUGCGCCCUGGUGGGAAAGCAGACUGCACGCCGUGAUCCUGAUUAUAGAAAUGGCACCUGGGCUGGUGGUAAAUCUGUUGGUUUGGCUGCAUGUAGAGCUGCCCCAGGCUCCGGGGAAACACAGACCACUGCCUGGCCUCUGCCGGCUCCCUGAGAGCAGAGCUGUUAUGUCUCAGGAACAGCUGUUCAGAUGUGUUUACGCAAUUCCCACUCCGCUCCUUAGGCAGCAGACAUCUCCAGCAACAACUUUGACCCUGGGUCGCCAAGUUCACCGGGCCCCGAGGUGAAGAUUGGGAAAGUACUUUCCGGCAGCCAGGCCAGCCAGCAGUGCCCGUUGGCCAGGGCUUUGACCCCUGGAUGCUGGCGAGAGAUGAUCCACAGGACGUGCCAACAGGGGGUGGUGUGAGGGCUGCUCUUUCUUUCUUCCUUAUUUUGCACGCAGCCUGGGAGUGUUCAUAAAUCCAAGCUGCCUGGAAACCCUGUACAUGACGUGCAGAAUGAAAAAAGAACCAUUGAUAACUUAGUUUGUGGUUUAUGCAGACACUUUCACUUCCCUGAUUUAGUCUGAAUUCAGAUCUGCCCCUAUAUUUGUAUCCCCAUCAAGCUAACAGUAUUUAAACAUCUAAACUGGCAAACAGUGUGGGUAAUUGGAUGAAUUUUUGUCGUGUGGUCCAACCUGAGUCAGUUUCUCAAGCGCCUUUGACAGUAUAAGGCACAUUUCUCUGAUUGUUUGCCUUCUGAGGUCUGGUAAUAGAUCAUCUCUAAACAGCGUUUAUGACAUAAUCAGCUUGAGAUUAAAAAUAUCCGUCUCAUUUUUUUGGUUUCACGACCGCUGCUGCUUCAAACAUCCAUCACUUUGGUGUGUUUACCGUCAUAUCAAUUAUAAUAUGGCCAUAGAUCCGGAGCCAAUUAUACAAUCUCUCAUACGUUGCCCAUAAAAACUCCUCCACUAUUUCAGCUUCUCAACUGAUGGAUCCUUUUCAUAAGAAAAUUAGAAAGCUUCCAAUAAUGCGUCUGAUAGACAACUUCUGUCUUGUCCUCAUUUCCAAAUGACACAGACAAUCUACGAAAGUAAUAGGGCUUGCUGUGUAGUGGGUCCUGAUUUGGAUCUGAAAUUUAAGAAUCUUACUUUGAAAGUAGUUGCUAAUUGGUGACAGAGGCCGACAGAGGCAUACAUCUAAAUAAAAGUGAUAUUUUCUGAA